AAGACCUUACGCUUUUGGAGCGGCCGAUGUCUGAUUAGCUUGUUGGUAAGGUAAAAGCUUACCAAGGCUUCGAUCAGUAGCUGGUCUGAGAGGACGGCCAGCCACACUGGGACUGAGACACGGCCCAGACUCCUACGGGAGGCAGCAGUGGGGAAUUUUGGACAAUGGGGGCAACCCUGAUCCAGCCAUGCCGCGUGAGUGAAGAAGGCCUUCGGGUUGUAAAGCUCUUUCAGCCGGAACGAAACGGUUACGGUUAAUACCCGUGACUACUGACGGUACCGGAAGAAGAAGCACCGGCUAACUACGUGCCAGCAGCCGCGGUAAUACGUAGGGUGCAAGCGUUAAUCGGAAUUACUGGGCGUAAAGCGUGCGCAGGUGGUUUUGUAAGUCAGAUGUGAAAUCCCCGGGCUUAACCUGGGAACU
rnacentral:rRNA from 1 species